UAGUUUGAUCAUGGCUCAGAUUGAACGCUGGCGGCAGGCCUAACACAUGCAAGUCGAGCGGUAACAUUUCUAGCUUGCUAGAAGAUGACGAGCGGCGGACGGGUGAGUAAUGCCUGGGAAUUUGCCCAGUUGUGGGGGAUAACUAUUGGAAACGAUAGCUAAUACCGCAUAAACCCUACGGGGAAAAGAGGGGGCUCUUCGGACCUCUCGCAAUUGGAUAAGCCCAGGUGGGAUUAGCUAGUAGGUGAGGUAAUGGCUCACCUAGGCGACGAUCCCUAGCUGUUCUGAGAGGAUGAUCAGCCACACUGGGACUGAGACACGGCCCAGACUCCUACGGGAGGCAGCAGUGGGGAAUAUUGCACAAUGGGCGCAAGCCUGAUGCAGCCAUGCCGCGUGUGUGAAGAAGGCCUUCGGGUUGUAAAGCACUUUCAGCGAGGAGGAAAGGUUGGUUGUUAAUAGCAGCCAGCUGUGACGUUACUCGCAGAAGAAGGACCGGCUAACUCCGUGCCAGCAGCCGCGGUAAUACGGAGGGUCCGAGCGUUAAUCGGAAUUACUGGGCGUAAAGCGUGCGCAGGCGGUUUGUUAAGUCAGAUGUGAAAGCCCCGGGCUCAACCUGGGAGUUGCAUUUGAAACUGGCAAACUAGAGCCCUGUAGAGGGGGGUAGAAUUUCA
rnacentral:rRNA from 1 species